rnacentral:rRNA from 1 species
UACGUAGGGGGCUAGCGUUGUCCGGAAUCAUUGGGCGUAAAGAGCGUGUAGGCGGCCAAGCAGGUCCGUUGUGAAAACUGGAGGCUUAACCUCCAGACGUCGACGGAAACCGCGCGGCUAGAGUCCGGAAGAGGAGAGUGGAAUUCCUGGUGUAGCGGUGAAAUGCGCAGAUAUCAGGAAGAACACCAAUGGCGAAGGCAGCUCUCUGGGACGGUACUGACGCUGAGACGCGAAAGCGUGGGGAGCGAACAGG